CAGGAGGGGGUGUUACUGGGCCCCCUGCGGAGCAGAACCGCUUUCGUUUUUCCGUGUUUUCCGGCCGGUGUUCUGGGCUCUCGCUUGCUCUCUUGGCUCGUGAUGCGCGGACUCGCCGCGCUCGGAUUUCCCUGGCACAUGAGAGUACCUCGGGUGUAAUUUUUCUUCCCUUUCUGGAAUAGUCGUGUCUUCCCGGUGGCCCCUGGCCUGCCUGUCUGCCCGCACGUUUGCUGUUCCUCGUGCCGUCCGGCGCAGACGCCCUUCCGCGGGGCCCGGGGUUGCAGGGGAGCCGGGCGGGGGGCGCUGUCCCAGGCCGCGUGGCCGGGCCUCCUGGGCCCCCAGCGCUGCUCACCUGGGGACGGUGCUUUGCUUGGUGGCUUCCUUUGAAUGGUGCAACGGUUGUGAGUGCACAGGACACGGCGAAACCAGCGCACGGCGUGGGGGAGGGGGCGCACGGACCCUCCCCCAGGUGCCGUGAACCUUUGCACACAAGUGUGUGGGUGGACAUAGUUUUCACUUCUCUGGGAUUCGUGCCCAGGCGUGAGGCUGCCGGAUCCGACCCUGACUGUAGGUUUGGGUAAAGCGACCCCAAAACGUGCCCGCGGAAGGGCCGCCACCCCACCACCCCACCUGCGCUGGGGAGAGACCGUCUCUCCGCCUCUGCGCCUCUGCCGGGGUCCCAGUCCUUCCUCCAGUCUCUGCCCGGUGAGGGGCGGGCUCGACUUCACGGGGGUCUUAAUUUGCAUUUCCCUGGUGCCUGAAGAUGUUGAACGUCUUUUCACGUGCUAAUCGGCCUCCCCCCCACCCCCCCCACCAUGUCUGCUCACAUCCCUUGCACAUUUUUUAACUGGACUGUUUGUAUUUUUUACUGUUGAGAUUGCGGCUCUUCACGCGGGCAGAAGUGAGUCCUCUGUCACCUGGCCUGCACGCGGGGGUUUCAGGAGCAGAAGUUUGUCAUUUUCACAAAGUCCAAUAUUACCGUUUUUUUCUCUUACGGAUUGUGCUUUGGGUCACGUUUCAGAGCACUUUCCCUCUCCUGGAUCCCCAGGGUUUCUCCUGUGCUGUUUUCUAAGAGUUUUAGAGAUGUACAUUUUACAUCCAAGUCUGUGGUUGGUUUUGAGUUAAUUUUGUAUGCGGUGGGAGACUCCGUCCCAUGUCCCCCCUUCUGCCCGCGGAUGUCCACGUACUCAGGUACCUGCAUAGAGACGACAUUCUCUUCAUUCCCCUUCUUCCCAGAAUCCCUUCUUUUCUGCCUUAUUUCUGAAGGCUACUUUUACUGGGUAUAGAAUCUGGGACUGGUAAUUCUUCUUUGGAAAUCAUUGUGCCAAUUUUUUCUGGCCUCCGGGCUUUCGGAUGAGAAAUCUGCUGUAAUUUAUUUAAGUCCCUUUCCCCUCCAGGUAAUGCCUCGUCCCAUCAGUACAGACUUUAUAUUUGAACAUUAAAUAUUUAUUAUUUUAAAUAGUUAUUAAAUAUUUUAAUAUAUCAUAUUAAUAUAUUAAAUGUGUAAUAUUUGAAUAUUAAAAAGAAAUUUUUACAGGUUGGUAAAGCACACAGUUGCAAAAAGAGCCGUGAGCCUUCUCUAUGACUUACACCGGGCUGUCGGUGGUAAAGGGUGGAUGUAAUCAGCAAUAUGGUUUAUUGUCAGCAUGUUGUGGACAUAAUCUAAGGGCAUUUCCUCUCAAACCUGAGACCCUUAAAAAAUAUCCCUCAAUAAAGUCUCAUGAACAGCUGUCCAUGUGUGGACCAGCCACAGGAUACCAGGCCACUGUCCCUGCCCCCCGCACGCCCAGGUCAGGCCCCAGGGUGCUUCUUUUGUCUGGCUGCACCCCCUCCCAGGUGGGCUGGGGGGCAUGAGUGGCUUGACAGGAAGCCUCUCCCCGCAGGUGGCCCCGGGACAGGCUCCAGGGCUCCUGGGACGGGAGGCCAGGGAAGAAGCUCAAGGUUUACACAGCCCAGGAGUCCAGGGCCUCGGAGGAACCGGCAGCUGCUCGCUAAGAAGGGGACAUCUGUGAGCAGGGGAGAGACGGGCUCGCGGGCAGCUUGACAGCAAGGAAGGACACCGCAGGGAACAGCAAGAAAGGUCAGACCCUGGACCAAACCGCAAUGAUUUUCUGACCAUACGCCGAAUAAUUUCUGUUCUCUUCCUUUUGAAGUGCUCGCAGAUUCUCUUCUUUAUUUCUAAACAGGGCCCUGUGUGGUCCUCUUUGAAAGAUGUGCUUCUUAUCUGUGGCCUUGCGGAGCUCACCUUCAAUCUGGGAGUCUCGAUCCAGAAGGCUCUAGCGCUGCCUGGUCACAGGUGGUCACAGGGCGUGCGGGACCGACGUGGCCAACACCCUUCCGGGUCAUCUCCAGACAAGUUUCACAGGUGUCUCCCUGCACUGUGUUUUGGGCACAAUAAAGAGCGUGGGUCCCUA